rnacentral:rRNA from 1 species
GACAGAGGGUGCAAACGUUGUUCGGAAUUACUGGGCGUAAAGCGUGUGUAGGCGGUCUCUUAAGUCGGAUGUGAAAGCCCCGGGCUCAACCCGGGAAGUGCACUCGAAACUGGGAGGCUAGAGUACUGGAGAGGUUGGUGGAAUUCUCGGUGUAGAGGUGAAAUUCGUAGAUAUCGGGAGGAACACCUGUGGCGAAAGCGGCGCACUGGACCAUAACUGACGCUGAUGCGCGAAAGCUAGGGGAGCAAACAGG